rnacentral:antisense_RNA from 1 species
GGUCUUUCCUAUUCUCAUUCAGGGGCCAGAAACAUGGGCCCCAUGCCCUCCACCCUCCUUUCCUGAAAGAAUAGGAAAAUAAGGGCACCGAGCAGCAGCUCCUACAUCUCUUUCACCAAUUUGAAAUCUCAAGCUUCUUUGUAAAUAGGUGAGAGUUCUUAUGUGAAACUGACAUUGGGGGAGGGCUGCCCAGCCAGUUGUGGAGGGGCCCUUGUCUCAUCUCCCUUAAGCUUUAUAGAUUUCCUUCUUUCAUAUGACGUGUGCAGAGGUACUCUUUGCAGCUGUGUUUCCAAUAGGCCAAGAAGAAUGAAGUGCUGUGGGUGUGGCCUCCAUAGUGGAGGGCCAGCACUGCAAUUGUUCCUAGUGGAGAAUAUUUCUCAAGCCCCCUCAUCAGUAAGAAGAAGGGGGCCCAUGGAAGACAUAGAUAUGAGAUGCAGAGCAUAAGCAAGCAGCUGUUACCAUAGCAACAGACAUAUUAGACACUGCAGGUUCCUGAAAGCUGUCUGAUAAGGUAUUAUUAAAUGAAGCCUCCUCAAAACGCACUCCAUUUACAACUGAACAGAAAGACGUUGUGUAGAAAGUAAUCUGUUUCCAUUUAUCAGGGUGGAAUUUACUUUUAGUGGGACUGAACCGAACUGAAGCUAAAUCCUGAGACUUUGGAUCCAGACAGCAAAAAAUAUUUACCAGAAUUUAUAGCUGUAAAUACCCCGGACACACCCCAUGUCUGCCAGGAAUCAUCUAUUUGGGGGAUUUUGCAAGCUUUUCCUAUUCUGCAGCCAACAGCAAAUAACUCAGUCAACCCAUUUGGAAAGAAAGAAGAUUCACUCCUCUUGCUGCCAUUCAUCCUAGCCACUCAGGGACAAAGCAGACAUAACUUUCUUCUCCUGGAGCAUGAAUGACCGUAGAACUGGCCAUUCCUUAAUGAUAUGGUUUAGAAAAUGGAGCCCUGAUUAGAGGGGCAUUUUUCAUCAUGCUGUUUUCAGUUUCCUGCUCUAGUUGGCCAUGAACAAACAUAUAUCGUUAGAAAGCCUAACCAAUACUUUCCUGGGGCCAAUUUUCUAAUAAAAUGACAGUAAAAUA